rnacentral:rRNA from 1 species
CGCUGGCGGCAUGCCUUACGCAUGCAAGUCGAACGGCAGCACGGAGCUUGCUCUGGUGGCGAGUGGCGAACGGGUGAGUAAUAUAUCGGAACGUACCCAGGAGUGGGGGAUAACGUAGCGAAAGUUACGCUAAUACCGCAUACGACCCAAGGGUGAAAGUGGGGGAUCGCAAGACCUCAUGCUCAUGGAGCGGCCGAUAUCUGAUUAGCUAGUUGGUGGGGUAAAGGCCUACCAAGGCAACGAUCAGUAGCUGGUCUGAGAGGACGACCAGCCACACUGGAACUGAGACACGGUCCAGACUCCUACGGGAGGCAGCAGUGGGGAAUUUUGGACAAUGGGGGCAACCCUGAUCCAGCAAUGCCGCGUGAGUGAAGAAGGCCUUCGGGUUGUAAAGCUCUUUUGUCAGGGAAGAAAAGGUCGCAGCUAAUAUCUGUGGCUCAUGACGGUACCUGAAGAAUAAGCACCGGCU